rnacentral:rRNA from 1 species
UACGUAGGGUGCGAGCGUUAAUCGGAAUUACUGGGCGUAAAGCGUGCGUAGGCGGUUCGCCGUGUCCGAUGUGAAAGCCCCGGGCUUAACCUGGGAAUGGCAUUGGAAACUGGCGAGCUUGAGUGCGGCAGAGGGGGGUGGAAUUCCGCGUGUAGCAGUGAAAUGCGUAGAUAUGCGGAGGAACACCGAUGGCGAAGGCAGCCCCCUGGGCCGACACUGACGCUGAGUGCACGAAAGCGUGGGGAGCAAACAGG